UGUUAAGCUGAAAUCACAGAAGGGCCC
rnacentral:piRNA from 1 species